rnacentral:sRNA from 1 species
UCCAAAGAAUAGGUAAAUCAUGGGCAGCAGCAGUUCAAGCUUCCCACCCUGUCUUGCUAUUGUGCCUCAAACUUGAACAGGAAGGCUCUCUGAUAGAGG